UCCUCAUUUCAGCACUGGAUACAACCGAGGGAGCUUCAAAGAGACCGAACUGUCCACCCGGAGAGGAGAGGCAACCUCACACCAGCGGCUGUGAUGCGUAGCGGGGCUCUGCUGGCUGAACAACACAUCGAUGGGAUAAAACCUCCCGGUCACAUUUAACCGCGUAUUGUGUGUAUGUGUGUGGGUGUGUGUUUGUGUGUGUGUGUGAGCCGCGAGGACUGAAGAAAUGCUCUUGUAGCGCGAGCGCGAAUGACACUAUCGCCCGCGAGUUUGCUUCACAGAAAUAUUCGGCGGUGCCCUAACUUGGAGCCGUUCGGACGUUAAGCAGUUUUGUUGGUUUGUUUUUGUAUUUAAAAUUACAUUCGAGUCGUUUACUUGGAGCCCCAAAAGCCCAGGACGAGAUGGAGAGCGAAAAGUACUUGCCGGAGCUUAUGGCAGAGAAGGACACGCUGGACCCGUCUUUUCAGCACUCCUUGCGGCUACUGGAUCAAGAAAUCGAAAAAAUUCAGAAAGAUGAGGGGAAGGAAGAGGAGAAGUUCAUUGACGUCGUCAUCAACAAGAACAUGAAACUGGGCCAGAAAGUUUUAAUACCAGUCAAGCAGUUUCCUAAAUUUAACUUUGUCGGCAAACUCCUCGGGCCACGCGGGAACUCGUUAAAGAGACUACAGGAGGACACUCUCACAAAGAUGUCAAUUCUCGGAAAAGGAUCCAUGAGAGACAAAGAAAAGGAAGAAGAGCUACGGCAAAGCGGCGAGGCCAAAUAUCACCACCUGAACGAAGACCUGCACGUCCUCAUCGAGGUGUUCGCCCCGCCGGCUGAGGCCUACGCCAGGAUGGGUCACGCUUUGGAGGAGAUCAAGAAGUUUCUCAUACCGGAUUACAAUGAUGAGAUCAGACAGGCCCAGCUGCAGGAGCUCACAUACCUGAACGGCGGCUCAGAGGAUGCCAAGGUGCCAUCGGUGAGGGGCAAGUCAGUUGCCCGUGGAAGAGGGACACCUGUUCCAGGGCCUCCCAGGAGUCGAGGAGGAGUUCCUCCGCUGCAUGCGGCGGUGCCCCGAGGAGCAGCACCCAGAGGAGCCCCACCAAUCCGGGCUCCAUCUUCCAGAGGGAGGGGGGUUCAGAGAGCCAGAGGAGCUCCCCCAACUGCCGGGUACCGGCCGGCUCCUCCCAUAGUUCAGGACACAUAUGGCGAAUAUGAAUAUGACGACGACUACGGAACAGCUUACGAUGACCAAGAAUAUGAAGCGUAUGACAACAACUACAGUAAUCAAGGACAAAACUCAGAUGACUACUAUGAAUAUGGACACAGUGGGGAAUCAUAUGACUCAUAUGGUGUGGAAGAGUGGGCAAACAAUCGCGGCAAGGCACCGCCGGCACGAACAACCAAGGGAGUGUACAGAGAUCAGCCAUACACCCGAUAUUGAACUGUUUAUACAACCUGCACCUGAGUCCUCAUGGCUGUUUCAACCCAAGUCGAUGUCCCGGCUAGUCCUGGCCAUCCGUCCAAUUGUCUCAUUGGUGCUAACGACUUGACAAACCGCACACGAGCUUCCGUCCAGACAUUCAAGCCAACACAGUGUCAAACCAAAUCCUGAAAAGGCCGUCUGACUUCGCAAAGGAUCUUCCCUUGAACUUUCAAAUCCCGGUGUGGACUGAGGUGAAUCCUGCAGGGGACGAAAUGGAGUGAGAUACAGAGAAGGGGGCUGGGGGGUGUAUAUAUGUGCAUUUAUCACACAUCGUCGUUCUCCGGAGAAAGGGAGGUACAGGAAAUCCGUGAGGCAAAUGGAGUUCCUCAUCCUCUGGGACGAUCUGUCGGAGAAUAUUUCCUUCAGAUCUUCUGUAUACAUACAACAUACACACAGGAGUGCUCUGAACUGGUUCUGAACCUGCCCUGUGUCUUUCCUCAUUAAGACUAUUGAGGGGAUGUGUCUACUACUUGUGUUUGACAAUACUUCCUAGGAAGGAUGAGUAAAUAAAUAAUGCAAUAUGCUAAGGAAAUGACACAUUUCUAGCAGUGACACUUUGAAUGUCAUAUUGUGCUCAUUAACCUAUAUCCCAUUUACUCCAAUGAAUAAAUAAUUCAACAAGUGCCUUAUUGUUCCAUUGUUAUGACAGCUUUAGAUGUUUAGUCCUAUUGCCAGAGAUAAAAAUAUGGAGCAAUACACUUUAAAAGGUAGCGUUUUUUUUCUUCUUUUAUGCUGUUUUUGUGGUUGUCUGUGUGCAUUACCACGAAGCUGGAAAACACCUUCCAGCCACACACACAAGUACAGUCUAUUCCAGAUGUAUUGCUUAAUCAGAAUUGACUUCAGUGGAUAUUACAAUUCCAAAAUAGCUUUCCAUCGGAUAGAGCGCUUCAUUCUGCCUUGUGCAUAAGUCCAGAUAGGCUGAUCCGUAUUCCACACAGUUGUAUGUCCUCAGUGGCAGACAAUAGUUUUCCAUUAGAGGAAGUGAUUCUCUCUGGAGCCGCGGGCCAAGCCUCAGACAAUAACAUAGCGACCUAAAGCUUGCAUCUCAGGCUCCCUGAGUUAACUCUCAUCACCUCCGGGAGCUGAUUCCCCUUCUGAGGUGGCUUAACACGACAGGCUUAUCUGAAGUAGGUUUGUCCAAGUUAAUAAAGUAAGAGCAGCUUAUUUGAUUAAAGUGUAUGCAUACAAAGGAGGCUGUUGCGAUCUGUCACUGGGAGAAAAGUCAAUUUCAACACUGGAAGACGGAUCGAUGGGUCCUUGAUGUCGGGUACAGGGGCAACCCCGGAGGUGUUUUAAAAGGGUUUCGGAGGAUCUGGAGCAAAAUUACAAAAAGCUUAAAGGCCCCAAAAAACCUAUUUUCUUAAUUAGCUUCUUACUAUGAAUGAUGAAGCCUUACAUGAAGACACAAUGUUCUACCAAUGUUUGAAAUUUGUUUCAAAUGAUUGCUGUAUUUGUCUAAUGAUUUUAUGUGAGAACGGACCAUUGGAAAAGCAUGUUUUUGUGCACCACUCAUAUGGUUGUGGGGUUGUUUGCUAGUGUUGCCAACGUUGUCAAUCAAAUGUGUUCAGAUCAGACCAACACCGUCCUGAAAGAGCAGAGUGUUAAGUGGGACACUACUAAAGGAACAGUUUGACAUUUUGAGAAUACGCUUAAUUGCUUUCUUGCCAAGAGUUAGAUAAGAAGAUCAAUACCACCCUCACCCUCGUACGGUAAAUAUAUAGCUGGAGCCAGCAACCAGUUAGCUUCAUAUCAACACUGGAAAUAUGAGGAAACAGCUACCCUGCACUGUCCAGCGGUAACAAAAUCCACCUACCAGCACCUCUAAAGAUCACUAAUUAGACUGCAGUAUAGCAUUUUUUCUUAGUGUAAAAACAUGAAUUUGUCAAUUCACGGAGAAACUGUGCCGGUCUAUUUCUUGCCGGGAACCAGUAACUUCCUGGAGUGUCCAUUGUUGCUUGGGAACUGGUUGAAUUUUAGUUUUCUUAGUAAGAAUAUUAAAUGUAAUGGUUAAUUAGUGGGAGCCACCUACAGCCACAUAUAGGCUACAAUUUCCACAGUUUUCCCCUCUCAUCCUGUCAUCCAGAAGGAUGGCUUCGUGACUAGUGCGUAAAAAAAGGCCAGGUGCUCGUAUUUACGCUACGCAACGCUUACAUUGGCGUUGUGUUCCCAGUGUUGCAGGUGCUGGUAGGCAGAUUUUGUUAUAUAGCUUAUUACUUAUUUAGUCAUGAAAAUAACAAAUACUUUUGGAAAUCAAGUUGUAUAUCUUGUAUAUUUGCAUGUGAUUAUAGUACCCCUCAAAUGUCCUGUUUAACUGUCAUUAUACAUGCCCCAUGUAUAACUGAGUAUUGAUGAGCUAUAUCUGUCCUUUUUUUUGCUUUAGAAUGUAGAAUUGUUUUUAAAAACCAAAGGCUUUUUGAUUCGGUGAAGUGCGCUUAUCCACUUGUAUUUCUUUUAAUCAUGUCCAGGAUCUAAAGUGUCUGCCUCCUGCCUUUUGUUCUGUAAUUAACUGGAGGACUCUUAAUCUCACUGAGAUUAAAACACGCUGAUCAAUGUUGAAGUGCCCCUCGGUGUCCUUUGGAAGUGAGCGCUAAUGUGAACACAGGUCAGCGUGUGUCGUUUGCUAAAUGGAAACUUGGGAAGGAUUGAUCAUUACACAAUAGUAAUAAUACAGAGAAUGUACCGCCAGUAUGUGACCAACGGAAAUCUCUUCAAUUUAUUUUGGAAAUUUAAUUAUUUCAUGCUUGUAUUUUUGCAACUAGCAUUUUAGUCAAAGCUUAAAAUAAGAUGUGAAAAAACAAGUACAUAAAAAGGGUUCCAGAGAACAGACAUCAGGGCAAACAACAC